GACGAACGCUGGAGGCGUGCCUAACACAUGCAAGUCGAGCGAGUGAUUCUCCUUCGGGAGUGAAGCUAGCGGCGGACGGGUGAGUAACACGUGGGCAACCUGCCUCAUAGAGGGGAAUAGCCUUUCGAAAGGAAGAUUAAUACCGCAUAAGAUUGUAGCUUCGCAUGAAGUAGAAAUUAAAGGAGCAAUCCGCUAUGAGAUGGGCCCGCGGCGCAUUAGCUAGUUGGUGAGGUAACGGCUCACCAAGGCGACGAUGCGUAGCCGACCUGAGAGGGUGAUCUGCCACAUGGGGACUGAGACACGAGCCAGACUCCUACGGGAGGCAGCAGUGGGGAAUAUUGCACAAUGGGGGAAACCCUGAUGCAGCAACGCCGCGUGAGUGAUGACGGCCUUCGGGUUGUAAAGCUCUGUCUUCAGGGACGAUAAUGACGGUACCUGAGGAGGAAGCCACGGCUAACUACUUGCCAGCCGCCGCCGUAAUAC
rnacentral:rRNA from 1 species